CUACGGGGGGCAGCAGUCAAGAAUCUUCCUCAAUGGCCGAAAGGCUGAAGGAGCGACGCCGCGUGUAUGAUGAAGCCCUUCGGGGUGUAAAAUACUUUUAUUAGGGACGAAACAAUGACGGUACCUAAUGAAUAAGGGGCUGCUAACCUCGUGCCAGCAGCAGCGGUAAUACGAGGGCCCCAAGCGUUAUCCGGAUUUAUUGGGCGUAAAGGGUCCGUAGGUUGUUUGUCGCAUCUUCUGUUAAAUCCCAGAGCUCAACUCUGGAACUGCGGGAGAGAUGGACAGACUAGAGGCCGGGAGAGGCAAGCGGAAUUGUCGGUGUAGGGGUUAAAUCCGUUAAUAUCGACAGGAACACCAAAUGCGAAGGCAGCUUGCUGGAACGUGCCUGACACUGAGGGACGAAAGCGUGGGGAGCGAAUGGGAUUAGAUACCCGCGUAGUC
rnacentral:rRNA from 1 species